CCUACGGGUGGCAGCAGUGGGGGAUAUUGCACAAUGGGGGAAACCCUGAUGCAGCGACGCCGCGUGUGGGAAGAUGGUCUUCUGGCUUGUAAACCACUGUCCCCAGGGCCGAAAAUGACGGUGCCUGGGGAGGCGGCUCCGGCUAACUACGUGCCAGCAGCCGCGGUAGUACGUAGGGACCAAGCGUUGUCCGGAAUUAAUGGGUGAACAGGGAGCGUAGGCGGGGAUGCAAGUGGGGUGUAAAAACUACGUGCGAAACCGAGAGUCGCAAUCAAAACUGCAGCUCUUGAGUGAAGUAGAGGCAGGCGGAAUGCGUAGUGUAGCGGUGAAAUGCGUAGAUAUUAGGCGGAACACCAGUGGCGAAGGCAGCCUGCUGGGCUUCUACUGACGCUGAGGCUCGAAAGUGUGGGGAGCAAACAGGAUUAGAUACCCCAGUAGUC
rnacentral:rRNA from 1 species